CACGUAGGGGCCAAGCGCUGUCCGGAUUCAUUGGGCGUAAAGAGCUCGUAGGCGGUUCAGUUAGUCGGGUGUGAAAUCUCCGGGCUCAACCCGGAGGGGCCACCCGAUACUGCUGUGACUCGAGUCCGGUAGGGGAGUGGGGAAUUCCUGGUGUAGCGGUGAAAUGCGCAGAUAUCAGGAGGAACACCGGUGGCGAAAGCGACUCUCUGGACGGCAACUGACGCUGAGGCACGAAAGCGUGGGGAGCAAACAGG
rnacentral:rRNA from 1 species